AGUUCUGUCACCCUUCUUUUUAGGUUCUUUAGAUGUAGUUUAAAUCUAGUUCAAAAAAGAAUUCAAAUUUGAUUUGAAUCCAUAAUAAGAUCAAAGGCUAUUUGAAGCUGAACCAAAUUAUCCAAACUCUUUAUGGGACACCACUUUAAGAAGGGCUGAUUUUUUGUGCACAAUAUUAAAUUAGAUUUGGCAUGAGAGAACCUCAAAGAGUGUGUGAGAAAUCUAAGAGAGAGGGAUGGGCAUCCAUGUGUGA
rnacentral:lncRNA from 1 species